rnacentral:rRNA from 1 species
GACGAACGCUGGCGGCAAGCUUAACACAUGCAAGUCGAACGCCGUAGCAAUACGGAGUGGCAGACGGGUGAGUAACGCGUGGGAACGUGCCUUUCGGUUCGGAACAACUGAGGGAAACUUCAGCUAAAACCGGAUACGCCCUUCGGGGGAAAGUUUACGCCGAAAGAUCGCCCCGCGUUAGAUUAGCUAGUUGGUGGGGUAAUGGCCUACCAAGGCUACGAUCUAUAGCUGUUCUGAGAGGAAGAUCAGCCACACUGUGACUGCGAACCGGCCCAGAAUCCUACGGGAGGCAGCAGUGGGGAAUAUUGGACAAUGGGCGCAAGCCGGAUCCAGCUAUGCCGCGUGGAUGAAGAAGGCCUUAGGGUUGUAAAGUCCUUUCGUUGGUGAAGAUAAUGACGGUAACCAAAGAAGAAGCCCCGGCUAAUUUCGUGCCAGCCGCCGCCGUAA